rnacentral:rRNA from 1 species
CCUACGGGAGGCAGCAGUGAGGAAUAUUGGUCAAUGGGCGCGAGCCUGAACCAGCCAAGUAGCGUGAAGGAUGACUGCCCUACGGGUUGUAAACUUCUUUUAUAAAGGAAUAAAGUGAGGCACGUGUGCCUUUUUGUAUGUACUUUAUGAAUAAGGAUCGGCUAACUCCGUGCCAGCAGCCGCGGUAAUACGGAGGAUCCGAGCGUUAUCCGGAUUUAUUGGGUUUAAAGGGAGCGUAGAUGGGUUGUUAAGUCAGGUGUGAAAGUUUGCGGCUAAACCGUAAAAUUGCAAUUGAUACUGGCAGCCUUUAGGACAGGUGAGGUAGGGGGAAUUCGUGGGGUAGCGGUGAAAUGCUUAGAUAUCACGAAGAACUCCGAUUGCGAAGGCAGCCUACUAAACUGCCACUGACAUUGAUGCUCGAAAGUGUGGGUAUCAAACAGGAAUAGAUACCCGAGUAGUC